UCCAUUGUCGGCCAGCGGUUAGGAUAUCUGGCUUUCACCCAGGGGACCCGGGUUCGAUUCCCGGCAAUGGAA
rnacentral:tRNA from 1 species